UUUGCAAUUUACGGCUAUGGCGCGGAGGAAAUUGGAUAUCCAACUAUUCCAAAACAAAUGAUGUGUUUUUGAAUGUACACAUAGAUCAACUUCUUAUUACGUCAGAUUUAGAUAAUACAAUUUUUGAAACAUUCAAUAUGAAUAGCAAAGUUAAAGGGAUAUAUAAAAAUGACGUUUUAGUUUUAAUGGUUUCCGAAAAUUCUCAAAAGGUACGAAAACUAAAAUUUCAAAUAAAAGCGAAUACUUCUAGUGUUAUACGACAAUUGAGUCAACAUUUCCCAAUUUCAAAUUAUCAAUCUACGAGAUUUAUUAAUAAAAAUAUGAAGUUUCGCAAUAUUAAUGAGCACUUUCAAACUGCUUUAAAUAACAUAAAAAAUAGCAAUGAAUCAUUCAAUUUUCCAUUGCCUGGAGCUUAUAAGAAUUUUGUGAAACUAUGCCUUCUUGAUCCAGCUUUUCCUCUGAUCAUUCAUGAAACACAAAAUAUUCUGAACAAUGAAAAUGUUUAGGAAAAUAAAGUAUUAUAAAACAUAC